rnacentral:rRNA from 1 species
CAUAUCAAUAAGCGGAGGAAAAGAAACUAACAAGGAUUCCCCUAGUAACUGCGAGUGAAGCGGGAAAAGCUCAAAUUUAAAAUCUGGCAGCCUUUGGUUGUCCGAGUUGUAAUCUAGAGAAGCGUUAUCCGCGCUGGACCGUGUACAAGUCUCCUGGAAUGGAGCGUCAUAGAGGGUGAGAAUCCCGUCUUUGACACGGACUGCCAGGGCUUUUGUGAUACGCUCUCAAAGAGUCGAGUUGUUUGGGAAUGCAGCUCAAAAUGGGUGGUAAAUUCCAUCUAAAGCUAAAUAUUGGCGAGAGACCGAUAGCGAACAAGUACCGUGAGGGAAAGAUGAAAAGAACUUUGGAAAGAGAGUUAAACAGUACGUGAAAUUGCUGAAAGGGAAACGCUUGAAGUCAGUCGCGUUGUCCAGGGAUCAACCUUGCUUUUGCUUGGUGCACUUUCUGGUUGACGGGUCAGCAUCAAUUUUGACUAUUGGAAAAAGAUUAGGGGAAUGUGACAUCUUCGGAUGUGUUAUAGCCCUUAGUUGCAUACAAUGGUUGGGAUUGAGGAACUCAGCACGCCGCAAGGCCGGGUUUUUAACCACGUACGUGCUUAGGAUGCUGGCAUAAUGGCUUUAAUCGACCCGUCUUGAAACACGGACCAAGGAGUCUAACAUGCCUGCGAGUGUUUGGGUGGAAAACCCGAGCGCGUAAUGAAAGUGAAAGUUGAGAUCCCUGUCGUGGGGAGCAUCGACGCCCGGACCAGACCUUUUGUGACGGUUCCGCGGUAGAGCAUGUAUGUUGGGACCCGAAAGAUGGUGAACUAUGCCUGAAUAGGGUGAAGCCAGAGGAAACUCUGGUGGAGGCUCGUAGCGAUUCUGACGUGCAAAUCGAUCGUCAAAUUUGGGUAUAGGGGCGAAAGACUAAUCGAACCAUCUAGUAGCUGG